rnacentral:rRNA from 1 species
AUACGGAGGGUGCAAGCGUUAAUCGGAAUUACUGGGCGUAAAGGGCGCGUAGGCGGUCUAUCAAGUCAGGUGUGAAAUCCCACGGCUCAACCGUGGAGGUGCAUCUGAAACUGAUAGACUUGAGUAUGGGAGAGGAAAGUGGAAUUCCCGGUGUAGAGGUGAAAUUCGUAGAUAUCGGGAGGAACACCAGUGGCGAAGGCGACUUUCUGGACCAAUACUGACGCUGAGGCGCGAAAGCGUGGGGAGCAAACAGGAUUAGAAACCCUUGUAGUCC